rnacentral:rRNA from 1 species
AACGAACGCUGGCGGCAUGCCUAACACAUGCCAGUCGAACGAGACCUUCGGGUCUAGUGGCGCACGGGUGCGUAACGCGUGGGAACCUGCCCUUAGGUUCGGAAUAACUCCCCGAAAGGGGUGCUAAUACCGGAUAAUGUCUUCGGACCAAAGAUUUAUCGCCUUUGGAUGGGCCCGCGUUGGAUUAGCUAGUUGGUAGGGUAAAAGCCUACCAAGGCGACGAUCCAUAGCUGGUCUGAGAGGAUGAUCAGCCACACUGGGACUGAGACACGGCCCAGACUCCUACGGGAGGCAGCAGUGGGGAAUAUUGGACAAUGGGCGAAAGCCUGAUCCAGCAAUGACGCGUGAGUGAUGAAGGCCGUAGGGUUGUAAAGCUCUUUUACCCGGGAUGAUAAUGACAGUACCGGGAGAAUAAGCUCCGGCUAACUCCGUG